rnacentral:rRNA from 1 species
CCUGAGAAACCCAAAAGAUCGAAUGGGGAGAUUCAUCGUCAGCUCAUUUUGUAUAUAUACAAGUUAUGAUAUAGGUUACUACUUGUAGUAUUGCUUGUACAUUCUUGUAUAUUUAUUUGCAGAAUGUUGUCGGCGUGCACUUCUCCCCUAGUAGAACGUCGCGACCCGUUGAGUGUCGAUCUACGGCCUAAGUGAUAGCUUUUAAUGAAUUUUAUUCAUUGAAAAUCCUUAGUGUUACCUGAUUGGCAUUCGUCGGUAUUCGUAUGGUAUUGAGUCGCAAUAUAUGCGUCCAUAUCUUGCACAAGCGAGGUUAAUUACUGAUAGUACGGACUUAGUGCCGUCGUUGGUAUUAAUCAGCUGUUGGUUGUAAGAAUUCUAGGACAGGCUCAUUUUAUUACCGGUCAGCGAUGCUACUGCUUUGGGUACUUUCAGGACCCGUCUUGAAACACGGACCAAGGAGUCUAACAUGUACGCAAGUCAUUGGGAUUAUAUUAAAUUAAACCUAAAGGCGUAAUGAAAGUAAAGAUCAGCCUUGUGUUGAUUGAGGGAGGAUGAAUUGUGUUUUAUUUUUAAAUACAGUUUCGCACUCCCGGGGCGUCUCAUUCUCAUUGCGAGAAGAGGCGCACCUAG